CCCGGGGGCAUCACGUGGGACGCGUGCGGCUGCUGCGAGGUCUGCGCAAAAUCUCUGGGUGAGGAGUGUGGUGGGCCGUACAGCGCCUACGGGCAGUGUGGCCUGGGGCUGACCUGCCUCAAGGACCAGCGCGAGUGUCCGUACCUCUUCCACCCUCAGGGGUUGUCUGCUUACGGCAACACCGACGUCUGCAAGCAGUAUCUCUUCAACGCCAUCGGACGAUGCGUGCAAGAACGAAGGCUUCGCAUCAGAGGCUUCUCUCUCCUCAAAGGUUAACUUAACCCACGACCUGACUUUGACUUCAAACCUUGGUUCUGGCGUUGAAUCCGACGUUCUGUACCUGGCUGGACUAGUAAACUGACGACUGGAAUAUUCUAAUUGCAGGUCUUUUGUUCAAAAACGUUUCUUAUCCGAAAACAACUUAUUCAGAGUAUAAAGUAUGCCAUUAAAAUAUUAUAAAUUUAAUUAAUACGGUGAAAUUAAUUUAUGAUGCCGCGAAUUAAAUAAAGACACAUUAUUAUUCAGUGUGCAAGCCAGCAAAGCCUCGAAAUGAAAAUGCAGUUUUAGCAAAUUCCCAGUACAUUAUUUGUGAUGCAACUACAAGACUUCGUAUACGUAUUAUUAUUCUACGUAUUAUUCUAGGAAAAUAAAUGAAACGCCAAGAAAUUUUCGAAGCUAACAGUGACUCAUAAGAUAAUUAAUCAUCACAACCUUUAAUUAUGAGAGCUCGAAGAAAAUAACGGCAAAUAUUUAUAUAAAUAUUAACCGUACAUGAACAAUGAGACACAAAUUUUGUUCUAUGAUCGAAAGGUACGACAACUUGGGCAGCGACCCUGUCGUAUUACGCGUAGAUCUCAUUAAUCAGAUGGCAGCAGAUCAUGCCAUUUAUAACCAUUUCAAUAUGGGCAAGUGUGAUGAAAUGGCAUUUUCUCUAUUAAAAAGUGUAACUGCAUUGUUCCUUGAAAUUACACUAUUG
rnacentral:lncRNA from 1 species